rnacentral:rRNA from 1 species
UACGUAGGGUGCGAGCGUUGUCCGGAAUUACUGGGCGUAAAGGGCGCGUAGGCGGCCGAUCAAGUCAGGCGUGAAAUUCCCGGGCUCAACCUGGGGGCUGCGCUUGAUACUGAUUGGCUUGAAUGCGGGAGAGGAUAGUGGAAUUCCCAGUGUAGAGGUGAAAUUCGUAGAUAUUGGGAAGAACACCGGUGGCGAAGGCGGCUAUCUGGCCCGUAAUUGACGCUGAGGCGCGAAAGCGUGGGGAGCAAACAGG